rnacentral:tmRNA from 1 species
GGACCUCCUUUAGCUUGAAUUGGCGGGGGUCCGCCCCCAUAAUGCCAAGCAUGGUCGUAAUUCCGGCGACCCGGAAGCGUUCUGGACGCGGGUUCGAUUCCCGCCACCUCCACCACAGGGGGGGUGUACUGGUUUCGACAGGGCGUAGAAGGUGAGCAGGCGGCCCGAGAGGCGACGGACGUAAUCCGCGCAAAACCACAAACGCCAACGAUGAGCGUUUCGCACUGGCCGCCUAAAACGGCCUGCUGAGGAUGUAGCACAGAAUGACUACCGGCGGGGACUUCGGUCCCCGCCGUCA